AACGAACGCUGGCGGCAGGCCUAACACAUGCAAGUCGAGCGAGGACUUCGGUCCUAGCGGCGGACGGGUGAGUAACACGUGGGCAACCUGCCUGUAAGACUGGGAUAACUUCGGGAAACCGGAGCUAAUACCGGAUAAUCCUUUUCCUCUCAUGAGGAAAAGUUGAAAGUCGGUUUACGCUGACACUUACAGAUGGGCCCGCGGCGCAUUAGCUAGUUGGUGAGGUAACGGCUCACCAAGGCGACGAUGCGUAGCCGACCUGAGAGGGUGAUCGGCCACACUGGGACUGAGACACGGCCCAGACUCCUACGGGAGGCAGCAGUAGGGAAUCUUCCGCAAUGGACGAAAGUCUGACGGAGCAACGCCGCGUGAGCGAUGAAGGCCUUCGGGUCGUAAAGCUCUGUUGUUAGGGAAGAACAAGUAUCGGAGUAACUGCCGGUACCUUGACGGUACCUAACCAGAAAGCCACGGCUAACUACGUG
rnacentral:rRNA from 1 species